GGAUCCGGAACUUAGUGGUAGAGCAUUCAACCGGUAUUUGAAGGGUCGCUGGUUCAAGUCCAGCUUGGGACUA